rnacentral:rRNA from 1 species
GAUGAACGCUAGCUGCAGGCUUAACACAUGCAAGUCGAGCGACCGGCGCAUGGGUGAGUAACACGUAUCCAACCUGCCCCUUCCUUGGGGACUGCCUUUCCAAUGAAAGAUUCAUACCCGUUCUAAAGGAUCCGGAGGCGUUCCAUUAGGUUGUUGGUGAGGUAACGGCCCAUCACGCCGUCGAUGGAUAGGGGUGCUGAGAGGAAGGUCCCCCGCAUUGGAGCUGAGACACGGUCCAAGCUGCGAGGGGAGGCAGCAGUGAGGAAGAGUGGAGAGGGGGCGGUAGCCUGAACCAGCCAAGUAGCGUGAAGAAUGAAGGCUUAGGGGUCGUAGACUUCUUGUAUAUAAGAAUAGGUAUUAUAUGAAUAAGGAUCGGCUAACUCCGUGCCAGCCGCCGCGGUAAUAC